rnacentral:lncRNA from 1 species
AGAUGAAGAUGGAAGAAGAGAAGAGAGAGAAAAUAAAUUUAACUAACUUUUAAGAGAAACUCUAUUGAUUACAUUUUAAAUUAUGUUACAUGUUUGAUUUAUGUACACAAAUAAUAAUGUAACAUAGGCGAAAUUGCUAACAUAUACUAGUUAGGUUAAGUUUAACAAAACUAAUAUUACUUCAGAAUAUGGAUUAGUUCUAACAAUAAGCAAAGUCAAAUUAUCUACAUAGAA